rnacentral:sRNA from 1 species
UUCAGCCCAAUGUUGUUGCUCAGACAGGAGAUCCAACAGCCACUGGGAGAGGGGGAGAGUCAAUAUUUGGGAAACUCUAUGGUGAACAAGCAAGAUUUUUUGAUAUGGAAGUUAUACCACAAAUCAAGCAUUACAAAAAGGGUUUAAUUUCAAUGGUUAACAAUGGCAGUGGCAUGCAUGGAUCUCAGUUUUUCUUUACACUUGCCGACAACCUUGACUAUCUGGAUGGCAAGCAUACAGUUUUUGGGGAAGUGGCUGAAGGCUUCGAGAUUUUAGAUAAAUUUAACAACACAUUCUGUGGGGAGGACAACAGACCUCAUCAAGA